GAAUAUGACAGCUUCCUUGUUAUUCUAAUCAAACCAGGAUGAAUCGCGAUGUAAGAAGCUUUAUUUUUAUACAUAAAGUAAUGGAGAAUCAUUAGGAAGUUGAAUAAAUCUCAUAGGAGUUAGGAUGAAGAAGCUAUCCCACCUUCAAAUCAGGUGAUCCCAGUUUUCCUGUUUGGGAAUAUGACAGCUUCCUUGUCAUUCUAAUCAAACCAGAAUGAAUCGCGAUGGUAAGAAGCUGAUUUUAAUACAUAAGUUAUAAGAAUCACAAGGAGUUGAAUAAAUCUCAUAGGAGUUAGGAUGAAGAAGAUAUCCCACUUUCAAAUCAGGUGAUCCCAGUUUUCCUGUUUGGGAAUAUGACAGCUUCCUUGUCAUUCUAAUCAAACCAGGAUGAAUCGCGAUGUAAGAAGCUUGAUUUUGAUACAUAAAGUAAUGGAGAAUCACUAGGAAGUUGAAUAAAUCUCAUAGGA